rnacentral:sRNA from 2 species
UUCAGUGCUGGAUAAAAUCUUCUGUUCGUGAAUGAAGCAGUACAGUUGGUACAUGUUUUUCUCUUCACUUCUUCAUCUCCAAAUGUGCUUUAGUCCUAACCUAGAGGGACCACCUGUGAGUAAGAGGGUAGUUUAGUCUCCAUGCUUAUUCACUCCUUGGUCUCU